UCUAGGAGCCGGACUCUGCUUUUGCUUGAUUCUGACCUUCUACCUCUACAAGAAAGCAAAAGCGCUGUGUCCUCAACCAUCAGACCCUGGUCAGCCAGUGCAGAGCAUCUAUCAGAAUGUUGGCCAGGCCCCUGACCAGCUUGGAGAAACUGAUGAGGACCAGUCUGACUAUGUGCAAAUGA